AAAAUAAUUUUCGCAAAUUACUAAGUUUAGGAAUAAUAAACAAAGCGUUUAUCAACGCUCUGUCGCCUUAAAAAAUGAUCGCUCUGAAUAUUAUAAUACAAAAUCAUUAAAUAGUCCAUUGUAUAGUACAAUGCAUCUAAACUUUUCUAUUGCUCAAAUAAGUACAAGCAAUUGUAGCGUUUGCAACAUAGGAUGUAAGGUAGAUAUUUGUAAGAAUUUUUUUUACUGUAUUUUGACUAAUAUACAUGUGGUGUUUAUUUUCUAUCUGGUCUAUAUAAGCUCACAACGGUCGAAGUUUGGAUUAUAAUACAUAGAUUUUUGUGAUAUUCCUACAAAAUGAAGUUUUUUGCAAUCUUGUUGGCAAUUAUGGCCAUUGCAUUAGCAGUUGUGGGUGGUAUGAGUACUGCAAAGGCAGGCAUAAAGGAUCACGAUCACGGCCGCGCCGGGUGCAACUGGUCUGGUGGUCCACCACCACCCCCACCAGCUCCGACUAACAGCACCGGCUAGAAGUGUAACUACAGCAAAUUGUGGAAAAAUACGACAUCGGCGCGUCAUAUUUAUCAAUAUUCAAUAAACUUGUGCAUUAUGAA